rnacentral:lncRNA from 1 species
GCAUGAUUUAGACUCAUAUUUGGUUGUUUUACUUAAUACUUAUUAUAUUUUGUGUAAAUUUCAUUUGUUCUGUUAAAUGACUAAGAAUACUGGUGAGAGGUUGAGUUUCGGAAACUUAAGCUUGCUAGUAAGAAUUACUCAGUUGACUUGAAUGUCCGCUGCUUUGAGAACUCCACAGAUCUACUUUUGGACGUCUUUUCAAUGAUACUUAGCAAGCAGUGGCUUUUGAAACUAGAAAUAGUAAGAAACAUCAUCUGAAGCUUCAAGUGGAAUAAUACCAUCAUAUGAAGCCUAGAGUUUUUCACUUGAAUUUCAUGCAGAGGUACCUGGACAGAUUGGAAGGGGAGACCAAUAGGUCAAGGUUUCAAGCCGUGUAUGCAGCCACUAUUGCUUGCUUUAGUUCACUUGAAUUCCAUGUAGAGGUACCUGGACAGCUUGGAAGGGAAACCUUGGUGCAACAGUUAAGUUUUAUCCAUGUGACCAAUAGGUCACGACUUCAAGCCUUGUAAGCAGCCAUUAUUGCUUGCUUUAGAGUUUAGAGUAGUAUGUGUACAUCACAAACUUUGGGAUGCGGCCGUUCUCCCGACUUUGCGUGAAUGCGGAAUGUUGUGCACUGAGCUGCGCUUUUAUACCUGUACAGAUUAGCAAAUUUGGAAAAAGUUUUGAAUUCAUAGUCUUUACGUACACGGGCUAUAUUUCAAUUCAGCUGUCUCUAGAAAACCGAUAAAAUAUCAUGUUUGCCUUAUACCAGGGCUUGCGCAGAAGUCUGACGAUAAUAUGAUGACGUUGCUUCUAAAUCUGGAACUGUCAGACUAUGAAUUUAUCACUGUACAGGAGGGGACCAAGAACGCGUUUUUUAUUUGCUUAAAGUACUGGUUAUUAAUAAAUUUCAACUCUUUAGGCACUAUAAGAGCAUGAGAUGCUGGGAGAAUAAUCCUUUUUAUAUGCCUAUUAUUUUUUUUUAUAUGCCCAUUAUUGAUUGUGGAAGGACGCAACAUGAUUUAUUUAUAUUUUGUUGCAUGUACCUUCUACUGCUUUUGAGUUGUUUUGACAUCAUGAAACUUGGGGAAUGUAAAGAUUUACCAACAUGAAGCAUUUUAUUAUGAUUUUAUCUUUUUUAUGUCAUUUGUUGAAGUUCGUACUGCAUACAAUCUGAC